rnacentral:rRNA from 1 species
UACUACGGCCAUGCCACCCUGAACAAGCCCAAUCCCAUCUGAUCUCGGAAGCUAAGCAGGGUCGGGCCUAGUUAGUACUUGGAUGGGAGACCAUCUAGGAAGACCAGGUGCUGUAGGUG